rnacentral:rRNA from 1 species
GACGAACGCUGGCGGCGUGCUUAACACAUGCAAGUCGAACGGUAAGGCCCUUCGGGGUACACGAGUGGCGAACGGGUGAGUAACACGUGGGUGAUCUGCCCUGCACUUCGGGAUAAGCCUGGGAAACUGGGUCUAAUACCGGAUAGGACCACUGCCUGCAUGGGUGGUGGUGGAAAGCUUUUGCGGUGUGGGAUGGGCCCGCGGCCUACCAGCGUGUUGGUGGGGUGAUGGCAUAUCAAGGCGACGACGGGUAGCCGGCCUGAGAGGGUGACCGGCCACACUGGGACGGGAAGACGGCCCAGACUCCUACGGGAGGCAGCAGUGGGGAAUAUCGCACAAUGGGCGCAAGCCUGAUGCAGCGACGCCGCGUGAGGGAUGACGGCCUUCGGGUUGUAAACCUCUUUCAGCACCGACGAAGCGCAAGUGACGGUAGGUGCAGAAGAAGGACCGGCCAACUACAUGCCAGCCGCGGUAAGAC